rnacentral:rRNA from 1 species
UACAGAGGGGGCAAGCGUUAUUCGGAAUUAUUGGGCGUAAAGGGCGCGUAGGCGGCAUCGCAAGUGGAAGGUGAAAUCCCUCAGCUCAACUGAGGAACUGCAUCCGAUACUGUUUGUCUUGAGGACGAGAGGGGAGAGUGGAACUUCUGGUGAAGCGGUGAAAUGCGUAGAUAUCAGAAGGAACGCCGGUGGCGAAAGCGACUCUCUGGCUCGUAUCUGACGCUGAGGCACGAAAGCUUGGGUAGCAAACGGG